UGAGGAAUAUUGGUCAAUGGGCGUGAGCCUGAACCAGCCAAGUCGCGUGAGGGAAGACUGCCCUAUGGGUUGUAAACCUCUUUUGUCGGGGAGCAAAGCCGCCACGUGUGGCGGUUUGAGAGUACCCGAAGAAAAAGCAUCGGCUAACUCCGUGCCAGCAGCCGCGGUAAUACGGAGGAUGCGAGCGUUAUCCGGAUUUAUUGGGUUUAAAGGGUGCGUAGGCGGACGAUCAAGUCAGCGGUCAAAUGUCGGGGCUUAACCCCGGCCUGCCGUUGAAACUGGUUGUCUUGAGUGAGCGAGAGGUAUGCGGAAUGCGUGGUGUAGCGGUGAAAUGCAUAGAUAUCACGCAGAACCCCUGAUUGCGAAGGCAGCAUACCGGUGCUCAACUGACGCUGAUGCACGAAAGCGUGGGUAUCGAACAGGAUUAGAUACC
rnacentral:rRNA from 1 species